rnacentral:rRNA from 1 species
UACGGAGGGUGCAAGCGUUAUCCGGAUUCACUGGGCUUAAAGGGUGCGUAGGUGGGCAAGUAAGUCAGUGGUGAAAUCUCCGGGCUUAACCCGGAAACUGCCAUUGAUACUAUUUGUCUUGAAUACUGUGGAGGUCAGCGGAAUAUGUCAUGUAGCGGUGAAAUGCUUAGAUAUGACAUAGAACACCAAUUGCGAAGGCAGCUGGCUGCACAAAUAUUGACACUGAGGCACGAAAGCGUGGGGAUCAAACAGG